UACGUAGGGAGCAAGCGUUGUCCGGAUUUAUUGGGCGUAAAGAGCUCGUAGGUGGCUUGGCAAGUCAGGUGUGAAAACUCCAGGCUCAACCUGGAGACGCCAUUUGAUACUGCCAUGGCUUGAGUUCGGUAGGGGACCACGGAAUUCCUGGUGUAGCGGUGAAAUGCGCAGAUAUCAGGAGGAACACCGAUGGCGAAGGCAGCUCGCUGGACGUCGACUGACGCUGAGACGCGAAAGCGUGGGGAGCAAACAGG
rnacentral:rRNA from 1 species